rnacentral:misc_RNA from 1 species
AGUGGAUGCUAAUAGAGAUUGCUAGAUGCACUUUUUUCCAUAGUUUGCAUCAACACAUGGACCCUGAAAUGUUCUAUAAUUGGAAAUGAAUAUUAUCAAAAAUUAAUAAAGAAGCGUGAUACGCCAAAUUUUGUCAAUUUAAAAGUAAAGAUGACAAGAAACUAGGGGAAUGGGUUACCAAAGCUAUUCAUGUUGUUAAAAUAUUCUGUUGUCUCCACAACCAAUAGCAAUUCUGAACCCCUUAUCUGCACUGAGUAUAAUCUGAAAAAGGAAGAAAUAAAACACCCUACUCAUCCAUCUUUUCAGCUCGGCGUUCAUUUUUGCCAUCUCCCUAUAAAAUUUUCCCCUUUCUGCUUGCUCUAUCGCUGAUGUUCUUGCCUAGCUUCUUUCUCCUUAAAGAAUGUGACAUAAUAUUUUAUAUUUGAAGGCCCACUUCGGAAUAUUGGAAAGAUGAUGGCUAAGGGAACGUGACAUCAUGGUCAGUUGUGCACCAUCAUCACCCAUUGAGAACCAAUGCAAUCUGAUGUCACUAGCUUCUUGAAGGGAAAGAGAUGUGACAAUGCCUAUUCCAAGAGUUGAUUCAAAAUGCAGAUUCCCAUUGCUUCAAAAUGCAAAAUUGAUUCUACAUGUCUACCCUAAGAGUUAAUUCCAGUUGUCAACAUCCUUCCAGCCCAGAUGG